rnacentral:rRNA from 1 species
ACGGUCCAGACUCCUACGGGAGGCAGCAGUGGGGAAUAUUGCACAAUGGGCGCAAGCCUGAUGCAGCCAUGCCGCGUGUGUGAAGAAGGCCUUCGGGUUGUAAAGCACUUUCAGCGGGGAGGAAGGCGUUAAGGUUAAUAACCUUGGCGAUUGACGUUACCCGCAGAAGAAGCACCGGCUAACUCCGUGCCAGCAGCCGCGGUAAUACGGAGGGUGCAAGCGUUAAUCGGAAUUACUGGGCGUAAAGCGCACGCAGGCGGUCUGUCAAGUCGGAU